rnacentral:rRNA from 1 species
UACAGAGGUCUCAAGCGUUGUUCGGAUUCAUUGGGCGUAAAGGGUGCGUAGGCGGCGCGGUAAGUCGGGUGUGAAAUCUUGGAGCUUAACUCCGAAACUGCAUUCGAUACUGCCGUGCUUGAGGACUGGAGAGGAGACUGGAAUUCCUGGUGUAGCGGUGAAAUGCGCAGAUAUCAGGAGGAACACCGGUGGCGAAGGCGGGUCUCUGGGCCGAUACUGACGCUGAGGAGCGAAGCGUGGGAGCAAACAGG